rnacentral:lncRNA from 1 species
AUAGUUGGUUUUUAAUUUUAGGUUACAAUUGCAAAGGAAAAGAAAACGUUUAUAGAUUUAACCAUUUACAUUUAACUUUUUUCUCCACAAAUUCCUCUCUAAAUCUAUAAUUAAAAUACAACUAUUUUUUUUUUAUGCGAAUAGGUUAUAGGAAUAUGACCAUCUUAUGAAGUGUUCGGACUAAACUGCAAACCAUUUACGUUUCCAUCCAAAUUAACAGAAUGCGCAAUAAAACACAAUUUGAGAGUCGAAGAGAAAAAGGUCUGAAUCAAAGUCAAACACCAAAACCAUAAAAUCCCCCAAUAAUUACCCUUUCGUUAUCUUCCUCUUCCUCCAACCAACUAAAAUGACCUCAAUCUUAUAACUCAUCCCCCCACCACCUACGUCAGAAUGUACAACAACCAAUCGCCAACAUAGCCACUUCCAAACUUCAACUUCAUCACUGGCGUAUCAUAAUACACUACAACAAAAGGUCCAUUACCAACAAAAUGAUUUUCUCUCCUCUCCAAACGACCUUAUUCAGUGUUAACAACUUGCCCGACAAACAAUAUGUCGUCACCUGAUCGUAAGCGACAAACUUAUGUCGUUGAAAGUGUCCUCUGACAAAAAUUUUAUUUCGCCGUUUAAUAAAACUUUCUAGCAAUAAAGAUCAUGUCCUUGUCGAAUAUAAUAGUUUAGCGGUAAAAUAUUUCAUAACCCACAUAAUAUAAUUUCCUCGCCUUAGGUCACGUUUCGUCACUAAAUAAUUUAAAAUUUUAUUAAUUAUUUUUUUUGUAAAAUAAUAGGUGACAAAAAUUUCGUCACUAAAGGCAGUUUGCAGAAGCAAAAGACGACGAAAUAUUUCCUCGCUAAAGAUCUUCUCACGCCAUAAAUGCCUAGAAUUCGCCAUGGGCCUUACUCUCGUGAUCUGAUUAGUUCAGCUUUUAAGCUCCUAUGCAUAGAUAGACUUGGGGAAAAGAUCAAAUUGAUUUCGUAACCAUAGCCACGUAUUUUUGUGAAAUACUAUUUAGAAAAAUGAAUGAUAAGUGUAAGUUUGAAUGUUGACCGUCCUAUUUUUUUAGACAAUUCUAAUGAAAUUAUAUGGCUAUAAUUAUUAAGUCAACUUAAUUUUUGCUUUUUUGUAUGGAUGAUCUAUGUUCAUAGAUUUAAAAAAUGAACUCAUUAUAUUAUUGAAGAUGGACUCUGGUGAGUCCCAUGAAACCGAAACAUGUGGUAUGAUGCAAUCCACAUACAAGUCAUUUAUUUUCCGUUUAUAUUUAUAUUAAUUUUUAAAUUUUUGGGUGUAUUUUUUAAUUUAGGGAUGGGCAUUCUAGGAGUCGAGCUCGCACUACAUACUUAGAGGCUUUUGGUCUGCCCAAGUCAGGACUAGCUGGAUAUGGCCAAAUAUAGAAUUGCCAACUCUAGUCCUAAAAACUUUUAUAUUCCCAAGCCCACCCAUUAAAUUCACUUGUUCAAACUCUUAAAUGUUAAAUAUAUUUAACCAUUUAUAUUAUAUUAAUUCUAAUUUUCUUUUUAAACUUAAGUAUAUCUUCGUAUUUUGUACUACUUUUAGGAAAACCUAAAGAACCAAAUGCUUCAUUGAAAUUUUGCUAUUAUCUCUGUACAAACCACAUAAUUCCCCUUUCACUUAAUAAAAGUAUGGUUUUAAUUAAAAUAAAAUUAUUUUUUAUAUUUAAAAUAAAUUCCCCUUUCAUAACACGAUUUUACAAUUAGUAUAUUUUUUAUAUGAAAUGAUAUGAUAAAUUUGUACCUAAUUAUUUUAAAUUAAAAAAUCCUUUAAAGAGAGUAUUAUUUUAAUUUCUGAUAUGAGGCAAUCAUAGAAAAUAUGAAGAAAAAAAAAAAGUGUGUUAAACAAACACCCAUAUCAUUGUAAAACAAACAAGUACAUAUGAGAUCGCCAAGAUAGUAUCCGACUUAGUCCGAUUGGAUUUGUUUAUCCAACUGAAAUCCGACUGGAUUUCUAAUCCGUCAAAUUCAAUCUCCAAAACAAACAUGUCCCUCGUUGAAUUCGCACUACAUACUUAGAGGCUUUUGGUCUGCCCAAGUCAGGACUAGCUGGAUAUGGCCAAAUAUAGAAUUGCCAACUCUAGUCCUAAAAACUUUUAUAUUCCAAGCACACCCAUUAAAUUCACUUAUUCAAACUUUUAAAUGUUAAAUAUAUUUAACCAUUUACAUUAUAUUAAUUCUAAUUUUCUCUUUAAACUUGAGUAUAUCUUCGUAUUUUGUACUACUUUUAGGAAAACCUAAAGAACCAAAUGCUUCAUUGAAAUUUUGCUAUUAUCUUGUUACAAAACACAUAAUUCCCCUUACUUAAAUAAAACGUGUAUGGUUUUUAAUUAAAUAAAAAUUAUUUUUUAUAUUUAAAAUAAAUUCCCUUUAUCAACACGGAUUUUACAAUUAGUAUAUUUUGUAUAUGAAAUGAUAGAUAAUGGUUACCUAUUAUUUUAAAUUAAAAAAUCUUAAAGAGAGUAUUAUUUUAAAAAUGAUGAUAUGAGGGCAA